GAUGUUUGGGUUCAAUGGAAAAAAGAGACAAAAAAGAGGACAUGAGAGUCACAAUGUCGAUUGGAAGAACUAGAAAGCAAGCAAAGCAUGAUGAUGAUUGUGAACGAUGAAAAAGACAAGUGAGCAGACAGACUUUUGGUAAACUAUGUGCCCACCAUUUCUGAAAGAAGCAAACAUCAAUUUACUACCCAAUCCCCUCCCCCGCCACUUGUGUUUUGUUUUUCUACGUUUGGUGGGGAAUGAAUGUCAAGCUCCACCCAGCACCCAAUCUCAACAAACCAGCUUCCAUCUGUAUUCAUUACAACUUGUCGUUUGUUUUCACAGUUGGGUUUGGUUGCUGAAUACCUAUCAUUAACAAGUAACAACUACAUGCAUCAUGAAUCCAAAUUUACAUGUUUAGCAUGAAUGCUGCCUGCCUUGCAUCCCAGGCCAGAUGGUCAUUUCUAUUUGCCGAGGUUUAGCAUUCAUCAUCGUAUCGCAUGAGCUGCUGCCUCGUUCUGUACGCAGUCACUCCUCGAUCAUCGUUAAUGAAGCACUAGUAAAGGCUAUAUCGCUCAUCUUCAAGACACAACUUCAACAACCUGUUUCGCUGCAAAAUUCAUCCUUUUGUACAGUGUCUUCUUUUCUUCAGUCCAAAACGCACCAAGACGAUUGUCGUACCUGAUAAUAAUACGGUUUAGUUAGCAGUCCAAACUGCACCUUCAACAGCCAAAUACAUGGAUUUGUCAUUCAUCGUCACAAGAACAGAUGAAUUAACAGCGUUUAAGUGGGCAGCGCAACUAGGACUUGAUAGUUUGGCGCUUGGUUGAAUCUCCACACAACUUCGACGAGAGCUCUG
rnacentral:lncRNA from 1 species